GGUGAGUAACACGUGAGUAAUCUGCCUCUGGCUUCGGGAUAGCCACCGGAAACGGUGAUUAAUACCGGAUAUGACAUCUUCACGCAUGUGAUGGGUGUGGAAAGUUUUUUCGGCCAGGGAUGUGCUCGCGGCCUAUCAGCUUGUUGGUGGGGUAAUGGCCUACCAAGGCUUCGACGGGUAGCCGGCCUGAGAGGGUGACCGGCCACACUGGGACUGAGACACGGCCCAGACUCCUACGGGAGGCAGCAGUGGGGAAUAUUGGACAAUGGGCGGAAGCCUGAUCCAGCAACGCCGCGUGAGGGAUGACGGCCUUCGGGUUGUAAACCUCUUUCAGCACAGACGAAGCGCAAGUGACGGUAUGUGCAGAAGAAGGACCGGCCAACUACGUGCCAGCAGCCGCGGUAAUACGUAGGGUCCGAGCGUUGUCCGGAAUUAUUGGGCGUAAAGGGCUCGUAGGCGGUUUGUCGCGUCGGGAGUGAAAACACCGGGCUUAACUCGGUGCUUGCUUUCGAUACGGGCAGACUAGAGGCAUUCAGGGGAGAACGGAAUUCCUGGUGUAGCGGUGAAAUGCGCAGAUAUCAGGAGGAACACCGGUGGCGAAGGCGGUUCUCUGGGAAUGUCCUGACGCUGAGGAGCGAAAGUGUGGGGA
rnacentral:rRNA from 1 species